CCUACGGGAGGCAGCAGUGGGGAAUAUUGGGCAAUGGGCGCAAGCCUGACCCAGCAACGCCGCGUGAGGGAAGAAGGCUUUCGGGUUGUAAACUUCUUUUCUCAGGGACGAAGAAAGUGACGGUACCUGAGGAAUAAGCCACGGCUAACUACGUGCCAGCAGCCGCGGUAAUACGUAGGUGGCAAGCGUUAUCCGGAUUUAUUGGGUGUAAGGGGCGUGUAGGCGGGGGCGCAAGUCAGAUGUGAAACCUCAGGGCUCAACCCUGAGCCUGCAUUUGAAACUGUGUUUCUUGAGUGCUGGAGAGGCAAUCGGAAUUCCUGGUGUAGCGGUGAAAUGCGUAGAUAUCAGGAGGAACACCGGUGGCGAAGGCGGCCUGCUGGACUGCAACUGACGUUGAGGCCCGAAAGCGUGGGGAGCAAACAGGAUUAGAUACCCGAGUAGUC
rnacentral:rRNA from 1 species